rnacentral:rRNA from 1 species
GACGCACGCUGGCGGCGUGCUUAACACAUGCAAGUCGAGCGGCGCGGCGAACGGGUGAGUAACGCGUGAGUAACUGCCCCCCUCUCUGGGAUAACAGUUGGACACGGCUGCUAAUCCCGGAUAGUGGGGGAUGACUCGCGUCCUAUCAGCUUGUUGGUGGGGUAGUGGCCUAGCACGGCGACGACGGGUAGCCGGCCUGAGAGGGCGACCGGCCACAUUGGGAUGAGGUACGGCGCAAACUCAUACGGGAGGCAGCAGGGGGGAAUAUUGCGCAAUGGUGGAAACCGGGAGGCAGAACCGCCGCGUGCGGGAUGACGGUCUUCGGGUUGUAAACCGCUUUCAGCCAUGACGCGUUAGUGGCAGAAGAAGCACCGGCUAACUACGUGCCAGCAGCCGCGGUAAUAC